CUGAUGAAGUCAGCGAGUUUAUAACCUUGUUCGGAAGGACCUUUUUUUCCCUGGGUAAUCUUGUGAAACUUCAUCGUGCUGGGGAUAGAUCAUUGCAAUUAUUGCUCUUCAACGAGGAAUCCCUAGUAAGCGCAAGUCAUCAGCUUGCGUUGAUUACGUCCCUGCCCUUUGUACACACCGCCCGUCGCUACUACCGAUUGAAUGGCUCAGUGAGGCUUCCGGACUGGCCCAGAGAGGUCGGCAACGACCACUCAGGGCCGGAAAGCUAUCCAAACUCGGUCAUUUAGAGGAAGUAAAAGUCGUAACAAGGU
rnacentral:rRNA from 1 species